GCACUGAUAUUCCCAUUUCACUGAUGAGGAAGUUGGGACCUAGAGAUGCUACAUAACUACUGUGUUGGGAUCAGGGUCCUAGAAUUCUAGGAUUUUAGAUUUGAAAGGGACCUUGAGGGCUAUGCAGGGCAAUCACUUAAUUUUAAAACUGAUACUAUUGUGGGGUGCUAGAGGUGAACCCCUGGAGUCUGGGGAGGGUACCUUGUGCAAGAAUGCGAGACUGAAACUUAGCUUAAAAAUAAAGAGAGAAAUGUAUUCAUUUGGAAGGUAAUGUUGAAUCUGGCCAGGAGGACAGCAUAGGUGAAACAGCAUAGGUGGAAAGCUGCUCCUCGGGAGGACAGCAUGCCGGGAAAGCUGUCCUUCAGAGGCCAUCAAGCCUGGGAUUUUAUACUCUUUACCACCGAGUGGGGAGGGGAUGGGGGGGGCAGGGCUCUGGAGCUAGGGGUUGGGAGGAGGCUUGCCCGAAGGCAUGGGGGUGGGUCCAUCUCCAGUCCAAGGGACCAUAGAAGAAGGGCAAUCCAUCCUCCCGGUCAGGUGUUUUGGUUUGGGAGAGCCGAGCUGAGGAACUAGCCUGAUAAGAGUUUGCCUGGGUUUCUUCUGGGGGACAAUGCCCAAGCCUGUUCGGAGUCCUGCAAAGAUGCAGAAACCUUGGCAUUUUACAGACCGAAAUGCAUAUUCUACUUCUGGGGAAGAUUGUAUCUGCAAAGUUGGAAAAGGAAAACAAACUCUUCAAUUCCUCCGUUGUAUAAACAAGUUGAUCACAUUUUAAUUGGAAGCCUGGAAUGUAUGGAGUGCAAAGGAAGUGAAUUGCACCAAGUCCUUGCGCUCCAGAAUCUCCCAGGGAAGGAGGCGAGGCAGAUUUUGUUUUGUUUCGGGUGUUUUUAUUCAACCACCUCCAAGGAUUCAUGCUUCUUCGUUGAGCUCCCCAGGAAGGGAAUUCUCUUUACCAAUGCAGUUGAGGCUGGUAAAGAGGGGCAGAAGGAUCUCCUGACUGGACCUGAGACCCUAUUUUCCUGGUGA
rnacentral:lncRNA from 1 species